AAAGCUCGUUAAGACUAGAUGGGGUAUCCCUACAUAGCGGGUGGGACCCACGGCGAAUGGUUCAUCAAGUCUUCAAAAAAGAAUAUAUACGAUUGCAUUGCAUAUACUAACGGAUGCGAUCAUACCAGCACUAAUGCACCGGAUCCCAUCAGAACUCCGCAGUUAAGCGUGCUUGGGCGAGAGUAGUACUAGGAUGGGUGACCUCCCGGGAAGUCCUCGUGUUGCAUCCCUCUUUUAUGUUUAACC
rnacentral:rRNA from 1 species